CUCGACCUCGGUGAUGGGGCUCACCUUCAACCGCGGCAACGACGCCGCUGACGGUCCCUGGUCGAUC
rnacentral:ncRNA from 1 species